rnacentral:rRNA from 1 species
AGAUUGAACGCUGGCGGCAGGCCUAACACAUGCAAGUCGAGCGGCAGCACGGGUACUUGUACCUGGUGGCGAGCGGCGGACGGGUGAGUAAUGCCUAGGAAUCUGCCUGAUAGUGGGGGAUAACGUUCGGAAACGGACGCUAAUACCGCAUACGUCCUACGGGAGAAAGUGGGGGAUCUUCGGACCUCACGCUAUCAGAUGAGCCUAGGUCGGAUUAGCUAGUUGGUGAGGUAAUGGCUCACCAAGGCGACGAUCCGUAACUGGUCUGAGAGGAUGAUCAGUCACACUGG